AUGGUUCAAUUCCUGGUUUUAUAUCUGAUCGAUCGAGAAUGAUUGGGAUUGUUGCACAACCACAACCAUUUAUAUAGUAUUUACUUUGGGACGGAACUAGCUAGUAUAUAUUUUAUUUGUAUUCAGAGAACAUGCACAAAAAUAACUAAAAUGUAAAUUUAAUAACAAAACUACAUGCAUGAAAAUUAAUAUCCAUCUAGCUUAGGCGCUGCUACGUCGUCCGUCCUAAAUCCGACUAGCUUGGAUGAAGACGAAGGCCUCAAUCGUUUUAAUUAGAGUAAAUGCUUCUGCUAGCUAGUAGCCAUGGCUGGCUGGUUGGCUCUCUAUAUCGAUCCGUCUUUCCAAUCACUUGCCUUUACUAGCUACUUACUCAUGCAUGAUGCAUCAUCCAAUUCAAUGUUUACAUAGAAAUAUACAUGGUAGCUAUGGAACACAAACACCCAUCAAAUCAAACCAAACCAAACCAAACCUACAAACAAAAAUAUAUAAUAAAAUAAAUAAUUUCUCCUCUUUGUGAGAGAUCGAAUAAUUAAGUUGUCAAAAUGGAGCAGUUGACGUUCGCUGAAGAGUGUGCUGCUUUGGUAUAAGUUGAACACCUGCUGCUACACAUAGCUACAUGCAUCCCCAAUAUAUAUAGAUGUGAUUAAUUAUAUAUAGUCAACAACACACGCAAUUUUAUUUGUUACAUAUAUAUAUAUAUAUAUAUAUAUAUAUAUAUAUAUAUAUAUAUAUAGAGAGAGAGAGAGAGAGAGAGAGAGAGAUCUUGAGAGAUAUGAACAAGUCAAUUUAAAGUACAUACAAAGUUCAAAGCUCAAUUUGGAAAUUAAAAUGACUUUGAUAUGAUCACAAUAUUCCAUAAUACAAAAAGGAGCUGGGCUUUGGUAUACCUGUUGUUGCUGUUUUUUGAGCCUGGCAUUUAAUUUCUUCCAUUAAACUGGGAACUUCUAGCUCUAGCUUAUUUGUAUAUGCCUGUAAAAUUCACCCAAAUGGAAAAGGAAAAACAUGAGAGAAAGAGGGAGAAGAAUAGCAGAUGCACCAAAACAAUCAGCAAAUUAAUAUUGAGCCAAACAAAUUAACAAACUAGAAUGACAUACAUGCAUAUAUACAUAUAUGAGACCUGUAGUUCUGUAGAUACAUUCUUAAAGAGAAAAUAAAUUACACAUUACAUCUUAUAUAUAUUUGAAAGAUGUACUUAAUUUAAACAUUUGUUAUCGGAUAAUUAUUUAUAUGGUAAAAAUAGAGGUGCACAACUGUGUAAAUUUUAAAAUUACACAAUACGAUAAUAGUCCACGAUAGUAAAGUGAAUCGUAGAUUGUGUAACUUUAAAAUUACAUAUCUUUGCACAUCCAUAUUCUCCUAUAAUAAUAAUAAUAAUAAUAAUAAUAAUAAUAAUAAUAAUAAUUCAGUCAUCUAUUAUGAGCCGGAAGAAGUCACUUUUAACAAAUAUUACGAAUCUUUUAUAUAAAAAAACUAAAAUCCUUAAAACUUGGUUGUUUUAUAAAUGAGGAAGUACAUAUAUAGCCAUUAGCCAUAUACUAUAUAGGGAGUAGUGUAUAUACAGCAGACCUAACCAACAAGUAAGGCCGUAAAAUAAUAAAUCAAACAGUUUGGGCUAUGUUUAUAUCCGUUCGAUUAAAAAUUUGAUUUAAGCUUCACUCAAAUAUCUUUAAAUUAUAAUUUUUAGAUUACAUUUGUUCGAAAAAUUCAAAUUGUUCAAGUUCGAUUCGAUAUCGUGUUCGACUUGAAAGUUAAAGUUACCUUGUUUAAACUUUAUUUAUACUCAAUAAAUUAUGUGAACCAAAUUAACAACUCAAUUGGAUAAGGCCUUUUUAAUAAAGUUCGUAUAAAAUAAGAGCACUUUCUUUAUAAAUAUAAUAUUUUUUAUAAUUCAUAUAAUGAAAAAUUAUAAAAUUUAUUACGUAUAUUCACACACACAUAUAUAUAUAUAUAUAUACAAUGAUGUCUUACUAGUAUCACUACAUGAAAUAGUUGUAAGUUAGGAUAUCAAAUCAAAUCAAAUCAAAUUUCCUAUUUUUAUCUCAACAUAGGAGUGACAUUCAUUACGGGACAAGCCAAAAGUAAGUAAAAAGGAGAGUUACAUUCCUGUUUUUUAUCCCUUGACCGAACAGCCGACUCCCGGUUCUUGAUCAUACGCUUGUGUCGCCGACGCCGCCGCCGGUGUUCUCAUCGGGAAACGGGAACCUUUGCAUUGAAAGGAGAAGAAACAUUUGAAAUGGGAAUAAAUAAUUAAGUUCUAGCUAGAGAGAUAAAUUAAUUAUAGAGAGAGAGAGAGAGAGUGUGUGUGUGUGUGUGUUGUGCAGUGUAUAUAUGAUGAGAAGAACGGUCAUAAUUUUAUGUUGGAGUUUUGAUUGACAAGUGUCAAAGAAAAGCAUGACGGAGAGAGGGGGGUUUGGAGAAGAUGAAUGUUGCACAUAUUUGUUUGUACGAUGUCGAUGUGCACACAAUUUAAUUUGGAACUACUAUACAUAUACUGCUCCAGUAUACUAUACUCACUCGGUU
rnacentral:lncRNA from 1 species